AAAAAAAUAGAAAUCAAAAUUUUAUACGCGAAAUAAUAUAUAAUGAUUUUUAGAUGAAACGUGUGUAAGAUGUUUAAUUUCUUGUGUGUAAUAUUUUUGUGUACGAAUUGUGUUUGAAUGAAAUUGAUGCCACAUAGCAAGAGGAACUGAAUGAACCGAGUUAUACUCUGAACACAAUCGUAACGUUGUUUGGUUAUCAUGGUGAACCUAACACAACAUGGUUUGUUAUUUAACAAAUCAAUUAAUCUCAUUCUUGUUUUCGAAUGUACAUAAAAGAAUGAAACAAUAGAUAAUAAUAAUAAUAAUAAUAAUAAUAUGAUACUCAUACGUAGUAUCGAGCAUUAAACGCAAAGUCGACGAUUGAUGGUGUCUUCACAAUUUCUUGUAUCAUUCUAGUGCUCUGUACCGAAAUAUGUAUAUGGGAUAGAAAGAGAGGGAUAGAAGAGAAAUAUUCUGUCACCACCUUCUUAAAGCCAACGAAAAUAUUGUUUCACGUAAAUAUACGUUCGUGAUGAA